GACGGAGGGCGCGAGCGUUGUUCGGAAUUACUGGGCGUAAAGCGCGCGCAGGCGGAUGGGCAAGUCGGAAGUGAAAGCCCGGGGCUCAACCCCGGGACGGCUCCCGAUACUGCUCGUCUAGGGACCGGUAGAGGCCGGUGGAAUUGCUGGUGUAGCGGUGGAAUGCGUAGAGAUCAGCAAGAACACCCGUGGCGAAGGCGGCCGGCUGGGCCGGAUCCGACGCUGAGGCGCGAAAGCGUGGGGAGCGAACAGG
rnacentral:misc_RNA from 1 species